rnacentral:rRNA from 1 species
UAAGGAAUUUUUCACAAUGGGCGCAAGCCUGAUGGAGCGACGCCGCGUGGUGGAUGAAUGGCUUCGGCCCGUAAACCCCUGUCAUUUGCGAUCAACCGUUGUUGUUUAAGAGAUGACAACCUGAUAGUAGCGAAAGAGGAAGGGACGGCUAACUCUGUGCCAGCAGCCGCGGUAAUACAGAGGUCCCAAGCGUUGUUCGGAUUCACUGGCCGUAAAGGGUGCGUAGGUGGCAAGGUAAGUCGGAUGUGAAAUCUCCGAGCUCAGCUCGGAAAUGGCAUUGGAAACUGCUUUGCUCGAGGGUUGGAGGGGGGACUGGAAUACUUGGUGUAGCAGUGAAAUGCGUAGAUAUCAAGUGGAACACCAGUGGCGAAGGCGAGUCCCUGGACAACUCCUGACACUGAGGCACGAAAGCUAGGGGAGCAAACA